AUGCGCGACGCCGCGUGGGGGAUGAAGGCCUUCGGGUUGUAAACCCCUUUCAGCAGGGAAGAAGCGAAAGUGACGGUACCUGCAGAAGAAGCGCCGGCUAACUACGUGCCAGCAGCCGCGGUAAUACGUAGGGCGCAAGCGUUGUCCGGAAUUAUUGGGCGUAAAGAGCUCGUAGGCGGUUUGUCGCGUCUGCUGUGAAAUCCUGAGGCUCAACCUCGGGCUUGCAGUGGGUACGGGCAGACUAGAGUGCGGUAGGGGUGACUGGAAUUCCUGGUGUAGCGGUGGAAUGCGCAGAUAUCAGGAGGAACACCGAUGGCGAAGGCAGGUCACUGGGCCGCAACUGACGCUGAGGAGCGAAAGCAUGGGGAGCGAACAGGAUUAGAUACCCUGGUAGUCCAUGCCGUAAACGUUGGGCACUAGGUGUGGGGCUCAUUCCACGAGUUCCGUGCCGCAGCAAACGCAUUAAGUGCCCCGCCUGGGGAGUACGGCCGCAAGGCUA
rnacentral:rRNA from 1 species